AGUGAACGCUGGCGGUAGGCCUAACACAUGCAAGUCGAACGGCAGCACAGUAAGAGCUUGCUCUUACGGGUGGCGAGUGGCGGACGGGUGAGGAAUACAUCUGAAUCUACUUUUUCGUGGGGGAUAACGUAGGGAAACUUACGCUAAUACCGCAUACGACCUACGGGUGAAAGCAGGGGAUCUUCGGACCUUGCGCGAUUGAAUGAGCCGAUGUCGGAUUAGCUAGUUGGCGGGGUAAAGGCCCACCAAGGCGACGAUCCGUAGCUGGUCUGAGAGGAUGAUCAGCCACACUGGAACUGAGACACGGUCCAGACUCCUACGGGAGGCAGCAGUGGGGAAUAUUGGACAAUGGGCGCAAGCCUGAUCCAGCCAUACCGCGUGGGUGAAGAAGGCCUUCGGGUUGUAAAGCCCUUUUGUUGGGAAAGAAAAGCAGCAGGUUAAUACCCCGCUGUUCUGACGGUACCCAAAGAAUAAGCACCGGAUAACUUCGUG
rnacentral:rRNA from 1 species